rnacentral:sRNA from 2 species
AAUAGCGCCUGUCCUAGGGGAGUAGUCUGCUUCGCCCCCCACGCGAAGCGCCGUCGUCAACAUAUUUGGCCGAACCCGGCCAUGGCGCCGGCAGCCGUUUCCACGGCCUGACGAGACUUAUGACGUUACCCUUCCACCCGGGCCGGGCGGAGGGCAGCGUCAUGGUUGCGUCGCCCGGCCCU